CAAUAGCGUAUACUAAUGUUGUUGCAGUUAAAAAGCUCGUAGUUGAACUUCUGGUAGGAGCGUCCCGGCCUUUUUGUUUUUACAAAUUGUAUGCUGUGUGACAUCUCUGGCCAUCCUUCUUCUUUGUUUAAAGAAGAUCUUUCACUGUAAAAAAAUUAGGGUGUUCAAAGCAAAAGUUUCUUUGGAAUAUAUUAGUAUGGGAUGAUAAGAUAGGCUCUAGAUGCUAUUUUGUUGGUUUGCACAUUUAGAGAAUGAUUAACAGGGACAGUUGGGGGUAUUCGUAUUUACAUGUCAGAGGUGAAAUUCUUGGAUUUUGGAAAGACGAACUACUGCGAAAGCAUUUACCAAGGAUGUUUUCAUUAA
rnacentral:rRNA from 1 species